rnacentral:rRNA from 1 species
ACUCGAGUGGCGAACGGGUGAGUAACACGUGGGUGAUCUGCCCUGCACUUCGGGAUAAGCCUGGGAAACUGGGUCUAAUACCGGAUAGGAGCCAUUUUUAGUGUGAUGGUUGGAAAGUUUUUUCGGUGUAGGAUGAGCUCGCGGCCUAUCAGCUCGUUGGUGGGGUAAUGGCCUACCAAGGCGGCGACGGGUAGCCGGCCUGAGAGGGUGGACGGCCACAUUGGGACUGAGAUACGGCCCAG